rnacentral:rRNA from 1 species
UUAGGAAUCUUCGGCAAUGGGGGAAACCCUGACCGAGCGACACUGCUUGAAGGAUGAAGGUCUUCGGAUCGUAAACUUCUGAACCUGCGACGAAAAAUGACGGUAGCAGGCUAAUAGCACCGGCUAACUCCGUGCCAGCAGCCGCGGUAAUACGGAGGGUGCAAGCGUUAUCCGGAAUCACUGGGCGUAAAGGGCGCGUAGGCGGUUUGUUAAGUCCGAUGUUAAAGACCGAGGCUCAACCUCGACACGGCGUUGGAUACUGGCAAGCUGGACGGUUGGAGAGGAAGGUAGAAUUACCAGUGUAGCGGUGGAAUGCGUAGAUACUGGUAGGAAUACCCAUUGCGAAGGCAGCCUUCUGGACAACACGUGACGCUGAGGCGCGAAAGUGUGGGGAGCAAACCGG